GGCAGGCAGGGUACAGGGUAAUGAACACAGAAGGGAGCGGGAGUGGGAAUGCUGGUCCUCAAGGGAAGGAGACUGAGACAUAAGAUAAGAUGACUCUAGGAACAAUCGUAGCGGCACGACCAAGCAGGACACCCUAACAGUAUGUUAACACACUUGCUGGCAGUUGACGACAAGGCCCUUAACUAGGUAGCGCAGUUGAGGAGACGACACUGAACCAAUCCCCACCCCUAAACAACCUCUACCCUAGAAGCACACCCUUUUCCCAGCGCCGUAGUCAGCAGGUCACUUUUAGCGAAAAAUAACAGACACAGAAGAGACGUAGCUCUCGAACAAGGGCAAAUUUGGACAAGGUAUACCAAGAAAAUUAUGCAAC